UACGUAGGGUGCGAGCGUUGUCCGGAAUUACUGGGCGUAAAGAGCUCGUAGGUGGUUUGUCGCGUUGUCCGUGAAAACUCACAGCUCAACUGUGGGCGUGCGGGCGAUACGGGCAGACUGGAGUACUGCAGGGGAGACUGGAAUUCCUGGUGUAGCGGUGGAAUGCGCAGAUAUCAGGAGGAACACCGGUGGCGAAGGCGGCCUGCUGGGCUGUUGCUGACACUGAGGCGCGACAGCGUGGGGAGCAAACAGG
rnacentral:rRNA from 1 species